rnacentral:rRNA from 1 species
GACGAACGCUGGCGGAAUGCUUUACACAUGCAAGUCGAACGGCAGCACGGACUUCGGUCUGGUGGCGAGUGGCGAACGGGUGAGUAAUGUAUCGGAACGUGCUCAGUCGUGGGGGAUAACGUAGUGAAAAUUACGCUAAUACCGCAUACGAUCUAUGGGUGAAAGCGGGGGAUCGCAAGACCUCGCGCGAUUGGAGCGGCCGAUAUCAGAUUAAGUAGUUGGUGGGGUAAAGGCCCACCAAGCCAACGAUCUGUAGCUGGUCUGAGAGGACGACCAGCCACACUGGAACUGAGACACGGUCCAGACUCCUACGGGAGGCAGCAGUGGGGAAUUUUGGACAAUGGGCGAAAGCCUGAUCCAGCCAUUCCGCGUGCAGGAUGAAGGCCCUCGGGUUGUAAACUGCUUUUGUACAGAACGAAAAGGUUUCUACUAAUACUAGGAGCUCAUGACGGUACUGUAAGAAUAAGCACCGGCUAACUACGUGCCAGCAGCCGCAGUAA